rnacentral:misc_RNA from 1 species
GAUGAAGAACGUAGCGAAAUGCGCUACUUGGUGUGAAUUGCAGAAUCCCGUGAACCAUCGAGUCUUUGAACGCAAGUUGCGCCCGAAGCCAUUAGGCCGAGGGCACGCCUGCCUGGGCGUCACACGUCGUUGCCCCCCCAUCUACUCCUUCGGGAUUGCGGGGGGCGGAUGAUGGCCUCCCGUGCGCCUCGUCGCGCGGUUGGCAUAAAUGCCAAGUCCUCGGCGACGCACGCCACGACAAUCGGUGGUUGCGAAACCUCGGUUGCCCGUCGUGUGCGGUCGUCGCGCAUCGAGGGCUCGAAAAAAUUGCCGGGCUCCGGCUCGGCUUUCAACGCGACCCCAGGUCAGGCGGGGUUACCCGCUGAAUUUAAGCAUAUCAAUAAGCGGAGGA